UCUUUAGUGGCGGACGGGUGAGUAACGCGUGGGUAACCUGCCUUACACAGGGGGAUAACACUUAGAAAUAGGUGCUAAUACCGCAUAAGCGCACAGUCCCGCAUGGGACAGUGUGAAAAACUGAGGUGGUGUAAGAUGGACCCGCGUCUGAUUAGCUAGUUGGUGGGGUAACGGCCCACCAAGGCGACGAUCAGUAGCCGGCCUGAGAGGGUGGACGGCCACAUUGGGACUGAGACACGGCCCAAACUCCUACGGAAGGCAGCAG
rnacentral:rRNA from 1 species